CCUACGGGAGGCAGCAGUGAGGAAUAUUGGUCAAUGGACGAGAGUCUGAACCAGCCAAGUAGCGUGAAGGAUGACUGCCCUAUGGGUUGUAAACUUCUUUUAUAAAGGAAUAAAACGAGGCACGUGUGCCUUUUUGCAUGUACUUUAUGAAUAAGGAUCGGCUAACUCCGUGCCAGCAGCCGCGGUAAUACGGAGGAUCCGAGCGUUAUCCGGAUUUAUUGGGUUUAAAGGGAGCGUAGAUGGGUUGUUAAGUCAGUUGUGAAAGUUUGCGGCUCAACCGUAAAAUUGCAAUUGAUACUGGCAGUCGUGAGUACAGUUGAGGUAGGCGGAAUUCGUGGUGUAGCGGUGAAAUGCUUAGAUAUCACGAAGAACCCCGAUUGCGAAGGCAGCUUACUAAACUGUGACUGACAUUGAUGCUCGAAAGUGUGGGUAUCAAACAGGAUUAGAUACCCGGGUAGU
rnacentral:rRNA from 1 species